rnacentral:snoRNA from 1 species
CCACUUGAAGAUGAUGAGCUGGUUGAGUACAUCCUCACCGGCCUUGAUGAAGAAUAUGACCCGGUCGUGUCCUCCGUGAUUGGCCGGUCAGAUGCAAUCUCAGUUAGCGAGCCUAUAUUCUCAGAUGCUUGCAUUUGAGA